rnacentral:rRNA from 1 species
ACGGAGGGUGCAAGCGUUAAUCGGAAUCACUGGGCGUAAAGCGCUCGUAGGCGGUUUGGUCAGUCAGAUGUGAAAGCCCACGGCUUAACCGUGGAACUGCAUUUGAUACUGCCAGACUUGAGUGUCGGAGAGGGUGGCGGAAUUCCGGGUGUAGGAGCGAGAUCAGGAGAUAUCCGGAGGAGCACCAGUGGCGUAGGCGGCCACCUGGACGACAACUGACGCUGAGGAGCGAAAGCGUGGGGAGGAAACAG